rnacentral:lncRNA from 1 species
GAGUGGCUGACUGUGUGAGUAGAAAGGUGAGAGCGGGUAAACUUUGAAUAUGGUGCGGGAGUGAGCCAGGGUGCGAUAUUGGUGACAGGCAAACAAGUGCCCCUAGAGCUGGAAGAAAUCUUGGUGAUGGAGUGAACGGCAACGGGAGAUUUGUUGCAAUGAAGAUACAAGGUUAUUGGUUUUGUCUUGAUUGUAGAGAAUUUUGGGCCUCUUAUGUUAUGUUUUAUUUAAGGACGUGAUUGCUAGUUGCCUUAUGUUUUGCGGCCUGCAAAGAGAGCUUGAGAUUUUGAGGUUCAGCCUGUCAUAGCUAUUUCUUCUUGUAAAAGAAUUGCAAUUAAUAUUGGAAGUGCAAUCAAUUUGUAUGACAAUUCCAUAUUGUAAUGGCAUAGAUCUCAUUAAAGUGAGUAUUUCCAUUUGUAAUGGAAUUAUCACUCUGGCUGAAUGAUAUUGAAGUUAUAAAAAUGUUGUAUGGCGGAUUUGUCUACUUUCAUUUUUUAUGUUAUAAAUUUUUCUUAUAGAUGUGCUCAAGUGACUAUGUCACUGGUUAAAUAUGUGUUUUCAAGAGCUAAUCAUGCUUUGUAGUUUUGUAUGCUCUAACAUGUGAGAAAAUGGCAUUGUCUACACAAUCCUAAAUGGCGACAAGAACAACUUGAUUUUUUUUUUUCUACAUAAAUAUUAUAAUAAUAUUUGUUGUGGAUUUCUUAUUUUCACAUG